UACGUAGGGUGCGAGCGUUGUCCGGAAUUAUUGGGCGUAAAGAGCUCGUAGGCGGUCUGUCGCGUCGAUCGUGAAAACUUGGGGCUUAACCCUGAGCUUGCGGUCGAUACGGGCAUGACUGGAGUUCGCAGGGGAGACUGGAAUUCCUGGUGUAGCGGUGAAAUGCGCAGAUAUCAGGAGGAACACCGGUGGCGAAGGCGGGUCUCUGGGCCGAUACUGACGCUGAGGAGCGAAAGCGUGGGGAGCGAACAGG
rnacentral:rRNA from 1 species